UACGUAGGGGACGAGCGUUGUCCGGAAUUACUGGGCGUAAAGGGUGCGCAGGCGGGCGUCCGCGUUUGCGGUGAAAGCUCCUCGCUUACCGGGGAGAGGGCCGUGAAGACGGGGCGCCUUGAGGCUCGGAGAGGGACGUGGAAUUCCGGGUGGAGCGGUGAAAUGCGUAGAGAUCCGGAAGAACACCAACGGCGCAGGCAGCGUCCUGGCCGACGCCUGACGCUCAGGCACGAAAGCGUGGGGAGCAAACAGG
rnacentral:rRNA from 1 species